rnacentral:rRNA from 1 species
AGAGUUUGAUCAUGGCUCAGGAUGAACGCUGGCGGCGUGCCUAACACAUGCAAGUCGAGCGAUCUUCUUCGGAAGAGAGCGGCGGACGGGUGAGUAACGCGUGGGUAACCUGCCUCAUACACAUGGAUAACAUACCGAAAGGUAUGCUAAUACAAGAUGAUAUAAGAGAUUCGCAUGGAUUUCUUAUCAAAGCUCCGGCGGUAUGAGAUGGACCCGCGUCUGAUUAGCUAGUUGGUAAGGUAACGGCUUACCAAGGCGACGAUCAGUAGCCGACCUGAGAGGGUGAUCGGCCACAUUGGAACUGAGACACGGUCCAAACUCCUACGGGAGGCAGCAGUGGGGAAUAUUGCACAAUGGGCGAAAGCCUGAUGCAGCAACGCCGCGUGAGCGAUGAAGGCCUUCGGGUCGUAAAGCUCUGUCCUCAAGGAAGAUAAUGACGGUACUUGAGGAGGAAGCCCCGGCUAACUACGUGCCAGCAGCCGCGGUAAUACGUAGGGGGCUAGCGUUAUCCGGAUUUACUGGGCGUAAAGGGUGCGUAGGUGGUUUCUUAAGUCAGGAGUGAAAGGCUACGGCUCAACCGUAGUAAGCUCUUGAAACUGGGAAACUUGAGUGCAGGAGAGGAAAGUGGAAUUCCUAGUGUAGCGGUGAAAUGCGUAGAUAUUAGGAGGAACACCAGUAGCGAAGGCGGCUUUCUGGACUGUAACUGACACUGAGGCACGAAAGCGUGGGGAGCAAACAGGAUUAGAUACCCUGGUAGUCCACGCCGUAAACGAUGAGUACUAGGUGUCGGGGGUUACCCCCCUCGGUGCCGCAGCU